ensembl:lncRNA
UAUCCGCGAGGGAGGGAGACGUGGAGCCCAGGAGAAUAAUCUGAUCCUGUUUGGACUCCCAGUCGGGAAAUUUUGGUCACCUUCAUUACAGUUUAAAAAUAUUUUGAAAAUAUUUUACUCCUGGAUUGUUUGAAGGGUGGGUUCAGCGAAGAAGCUUCUUCAGUUUUUCUAACUGAUGGGGUUUUGAGCGCUAUAAGGAUACUACAUGAUCAAGUCCGAAUGCCGUGAGAGUCCAUUAUGGCCGACUGCAGAGGACCUGAGGUUAAGUGGUGCCAGAAGAGAGAGGAAAGAGGGAGGCCGACAUGCUGACAGCUGAUGCAUCACCAACCAAUGGAUUAUCAGCAGCUCUGCCCUAGGACACACACCCCUCUUUCACACACAUACUAACCCCCCUCUGAUUUCGAGAGUCUGGUAAUACAACAGAAUGAGUGGUAUCAUUAGAUUAGAUUGGGUGUGGAAGUUAUGGAAGGAUCUCCUCAUUAAUCACACGCGCUAAUGGCAGUUUAAUAGCUGUUGUCUCAACUGCUUCUUUCCGUUGUACAUCACUGUGCAGCUCCUCUGUUACAAUAAAAGUGUUUUAAUCUCAACAGGAUGGUAAGUGUUGAUUCAUUUGAGAUUAUCUCACAAUACAAACGACCAAAAAAUGCUUGAGGAAGUCAAAGAAAAGCUGGGAUUUGGAAGCAAAACUUGUUUUUCGGGUAAAUUUUAUUGUUACGUUAUCAGAGUAUUAGAUGCAGCAUUGUGAGCUUUAGUCUGCUGCCAUAAAGAAUCGUAUUAUAUAGUUAAAGAAGUAUAGAGGCCAUGCACUAUAAACACACACGCGUACAAAGAGGAAGACUGGAUUACAAUAAUCCAGGGACUGGGGGUAUUUUUAGGACUACAUGACCAGAGGCAGACACUUGAGGAAAACAGAUAAUCACUGUCAUAUGACCAGCUGGAUUUUCUGGAUAUACAGUUAAUUACGUAGUGUCUGCGAGGAACACAUGUAGAGCGAAUGAUGUCAGUACAAAAUUAUUUUGACUGCCUCCCUUAGUUAUGUUGCAAUAAGUCAGGGCUGCUGGGGGCUUUAUAUUAGCAAGCCAAAGUGCUCAUAUGGGGUCUAAUUGUUGGGGUUUCUAUGUUUCCCAUGUUUCCCAAGUACUAAGUAAAUUGUUACACUACUCACUACAGUACUUUCUCAUUACUCCAUAAAAUGACCUCAAAUGCAAUGUCUCAUAACUAUCACGUAACAAUAUAAAACUUUAGGCUACAGUCCCACACACUAAUACCAACAUGAAUCCCUAUCCUAAUGAAGACACAUGUACAAUCUUUCUUUUAGUAUUUACAUAUGAACGUGAAGGUGUGACAACAAAAGUAAAGAUUAAAAAAAUCUUUACUUUUGUUUGAACUUAUUGUGAUUGUUUCUGUCCUGGCAACAGUUUGCCCGUUACCAUCACACUUUUGUCCCUUUUCUGGAAUAAAAAUAAAAGUGCUGUCUAUAUUUCUGCUCCUGAAAAGCUGUGUCUCUGUACUGCGCCACAAUUUUCCUCCUCCAGCAUACGAAAUGAAAGCAUCUGAGUGCAGUGCAACCGUGCAGGAAAAAAAAAUGCAUGUUUGCUUUAUGAUUUUUUUUCUAUCGACCUGGCGUGCAGAUAUCUGAAGAAUCUUUGUGGCACAAGUAACAACAUAAAUGCAACUUUAAGGUAAUUACUGAAUUUAGUAAUACAUUCCAUCAAGUUACAGUACUGCACUUUUACCCUAACCUUUAGCAAAGCCUUCACCUUAAAAUUUGGUGAUAUAUGUUAUGGGGACUUAUUGACCUCACAAUGGAGGUAGCCCACAUAUUGUGACUGUGUGGCUUCAUGUCCCCAAAGCACAGUAUUAACACACACACACACACACACACACACACACACACACACACACACACACACACACACACACACACACACACACACACACACACACACACAGGUUUCAGAUACUCCAUACAAGGAUAGCAGCACUGAAGGCUCUGACAGUGACACAUUGUUGUGUCCACACAUACUAUUGCAUUUGUUCUGUAGAUGCAUUUACCAGAAGCGCUAGAGGGCGCUAGUGAGUAUGUUGUUCUGGUUGUGGUUUUGAAGAAGAAAAAAGAAAAAUAAAGAAAGGAGUCAACUCCGGUAAUCCUCUGUUCCUACCUGCGUGUGUGUGUAAUGCUUGCUGAACUAACACCACACAACACACAUACAAGCAAUUAGGACCACAGCUUACCAAACGAUAAUGUUACUAUUCCUCCUCCUAGUGGGUGAAACUCACAGUGCACAGUCUUUGUCAAGCUCUGGCUAAAUUGUUAAGCUGGUAGUGCAAUCCCUGGCAACUAAAGUGUGAACCCCAAGUUGCUCUCAGAUGCAUUUUUUUGGUGUGUGAAUGUUAAACAGAAAGCACU